AUCUGGAUGACGAGUCCCAAACAGGACGAAUCGAGUAUCCUGGAU
rnacentral:hammerhead_ribozyme from 1 species